rnacentral:tRNA from 1 species
AAGGUUUUAGCUUAAUUAAAGUUUCUGUUUUGCAUACAGAAGAUGUGGGUUAAUGUCCCGCAAGUCUUA